rnacentral:ncRNA from 4 species
ACCACAGGGAUAACUGGCUUGUG